GAAGGGGGCUAGCGUUGUUCGGAAUUACUGGGCGUAAAGCGCGUGUAGGCGGUUGCCAAAGUCGGGUGUGAAAGCCUUGAGCUCAACUCAAGAAAUGCACUCGAUACUUGGUGACUAGAGGACCGGAGAGGAUAGUGGAAUUCCCAGUGUAGUGGUGAAAUACGUAGAGAUUGGGAAGAACACCAGUGGCGAAGGCGGCUAUCUGGACGGUUUCUGACGCUAAGACGCGAAAGCGUGGGGAGCAAACAGGAUUAGAUACCCUGGUAGUCCACGCCGUAAACGAUGGGUGCUAGACGUUGGCGAGCUUGCUCGUCAGUGUCGCAGCUAACGCGUUAAGCACCCCGCCUGGGGAGUACGGCCGCAAGGUUGAA
rnacentral:rRNA from 1 species